AUACUUACCUGGCAGGAGAGAUACCAUGAUCCUGAAGGAGGUUUUUCAGGGCAAGGCUUAUCCAUUGCACCCCAAAUGUGCUGACCCCUGAGAUUUUCCCAACUGCAAGAAACUCUACUGCAUAAUUUGUGGUAGUAGGGAACUGUGCUGAUACUCUUUUGUA
rnacentral:snRNA from 1 species